GGCGGCGUGCUUAACACAUGCAAGUCGAACGGAGCGAAUGAAAGCUUGCUUUUAUGAGCUUAGUGGCAAACGGGUGAGUAACACGUAGACAACCUGCCGACAGGAUGGGGACAACAUUCCGAAAGGAAUGCUAAUACCGAAUGAAGCGGAGGAGAGGCAUCUCCCCUCCGUGAAAGAUGGCCUCUGAAUAUGCUAUCACCUGUCGAUGGGUCUGCGUCUGAUUAGCUGGUUGGUGAGGUAACGGCUCACCAAGGCGACGAUCAGUAGCCGGUCUGAGAGGAUGAACGGCCACAUUGGGACUGAGACACGGCCCAGACUCCUACGGGAGGCAGCAGUGGGGAAUCUUCCGCAAUGGGCGCAAGCCUGACGGAGCAACGCCGCGUGAGUGAAGAAGGUCUUCGGAUCGUAAAGCUCUGUUGACGGGGACGAACGUGCGAGAGGUGAAUAAUCUCUGCAA
rnacentral:rRNA from 1 species